AUCCCUGUAGCACAAUAGGUAGUCCUUUGAACUUCUAACCCAAAAGUUGUGGGUUCGAAUCCCACCUGGAAUG